rnacentral:rRNA from 1 species
GGGCGCUACCAUGCAGUCGAGCGAACCUUCGGGUUAGCGGCGGACGGGUGAGUAACGCGUGGGAACGUACCCUCUUCUGCGGGAUAGCCACUGGAAACGGUGAGUAAUACCGCAUACGCCCUUCGGGGGAAAGAUUUAUCGGAGGAGGAUCGGCCCGCGUUGGAUUAGGUAGUUGGUGGGGUAAUGGCCUACCAAGCCUACGAUCCAUAGCUGGUUUUAGAGGAUGAUCAGCCACACUGGGACUGAGACACGGCCCAGACUCCUACGGGAGGCAGCAGUGGGGAAUCUUAGACAAUGGGCGCAAGCCUGAUCUAGCCAUGCCGCGUGAGUGACGAAGGCCUUAGGGUCGUAAAGCUCUUUCGCCAGAGAUGAUAAUGACAGUAUCUGGUAAAGAAACCCCGGCUAACUCCGUGCCAGCAGCCGCGGUAAUACGGAGGGGGUUAGCGUUGUUCGGAAUUACUGGGCGUAAAGCGCACGUAGGCGGAUUGGAAAGUUGGGGGUGAAAUCCCAGGGCUCAACCCUGGAACUGCCUCCAAAACUCCCAGUCUGGAGUUCGAGAGAGGUGAGUGGAAUUCCGAGUGUAGAGGUGAAAUUCGUAGAUAUUCGGAGGAACACCAGUGGCGAAGGCGGCUCACUGGCUCGAUACUGACGCUGAGGUGC